GAAAGAGGGAGGGAGUGCACGAGAGAGAGGAAGGAUGAAUUGUAGCACGUUGCAGCAGAGAACUGUGACAGACUGGGCAUUUAUUUGAGCUCAGGCUGCUGCUGUAGCAGGAAGGAUGCAGCAGCACUGAUCUAUCACUUGGUGCAUCCACCACAGCUGGAGACAAGGUGGACACAAAGAGGAGGAGACACAGGACAUACACGGGCUUCAUGCCAAGGCGAAGCGUGGAGUGAAUAAGAAUCAGCACUGCUCACCGUACAGCUCAGACAUCAGUAUCAGCAGAAGACUGGAGAGGGGUUCUGCAAGCUCUCCUGAGGACCUCUGCAUGAUCACCGCAGGAUUUGUCACAACUUUGCACCUCAUCUAGUGGAAAUCGGUACAAGUCACAGAGGAGUUAUUGGCAUCAGAGUUCGAAUGACAAUUUGUGUUCAAAGCUAGGGCUCGGCUUGUUUUCCUUACCCUGAAUGGCUAUUGAUUUUUUGGUUUUUUUAUUU